rnacentral:tRNA from 1 species
GAGGGUGCAGCUCAGUGGUAGAGCGUGUGCUUAGCAUGCAUGACGUCCUGGGUUCAAUCCCCAGCACCUCCA